rnacentral:rRNA from 1 species
AUCUUGAGAACGGCGUACGGGUGCGGAAACACGUGUGCAACUAGCUUUAUCUGGGGGAUAGCCUUUCGAAAGGAAGAUUAAUACCCCAUAAUAUGUUGAAUGGCAUCAUUCGACAUUUGAAAACUCCGGUGGAUAGAGAUGGGCACGCGCAAGAUUAGAUAGUUGGUGAGUAACGGUCACCAAGUCUACGAUCUUUAGGGGGGCCUGAGAGGGUGAUCCCCCACACUGGUACUGAGACACGGACCAGACUCAUACGGGAGGCAGCAGUGAGGAAUAUUGGACAAUGGGUGAGAGCCUGAUCCAGCCAUCCCGCGUGAAGGACGACUGCCCUAUGGGUUGUAAACUUCUUUUGUAUAGGGAUAAACCUACCCUCGUGAGGGUAGCUGAAGGUACUAUACGAAUAAGCACCGGCUAACUCCGUGCCAGAAGCCGGGUAAUACGGAGGGUGCAAGCGUUAUCCGGAUUUCUAUUGGGUUUAAAAGGGUCCGUAGGCGGAUCUGUAAGUCAGUGGUGAAAUCUCAACAAGUUUAACUGUGAAACUGCAUUGAUAACUGAGGUCUUUGAGUGUAGUCGAAGUAGUGGGAAUAAAGUAGUUGGUAC